rnacentral:misc_RNA from 1 species
GUGGUGGAAGAUGGAUGAGUAGGGUUUGUAUGAACAAGAUCUGGAGUGAAAUCGGGGUUGGAAUUUAGAGGAGCGCGAAUGUCGGAGAUUUCAUCGUCAGGGUCGUAAUCGGGAUUGAGAGAGCGAUCAAUGGCCUCCCGACCUUUCUCCAGGCAAGGUUUGCAAGCUAUUUCGAUGGUGAUCCAUCCUAGAACCACCGCUCCGAUUGCUAUCACCGCCGUCGUUAUUGC